UACAGAGGUCUCAAGCGUUUGUUCGGAUUCAUUGGGCGUAAAGGGUGCGUAGGUGGCGGGGUAAGUUGGAUGUGAAAUCCCGGGGCUCAACCCCCGGAACUGCAUUCAAUAACUGCCUUGCUAGAGUACUGGAGAGGAGAUUGGAAUUUACGGUGUAGCAGUGAAAUGCGUAGAUAUCGUAAGGAAGACCAGUGGCGAAGGCGGAUCUCUGGACAGUUACUGACACUGAGGC
rnacentral:rRNA from 1 species